ensembl:snRNA U6 U6 spliceosomal RNA
GUGUUCAGUUAGGCAGCACGUACACUAACAUUGGAAUGAUACAAGAAGGUUAGCAUGGCCUCUGCACAAGGAUGACACAAAAUCAUGAUGUGUUCCAUUAAAAA